UACGUAGGGGGCAAGCGUUGUCCGGAAUCAUUGGGCGUAAAGAGCGCGUAGGCGGCCCGAUAAGUCCGCUGUGAAAGUCAAGGGCUUAACCCUUGAAUGCCGGUGGAAACUGUCGGGCUAGAGUCCGGAAGAGGCGAGUGGAAUUCCUGGUGUAGCGGUGACAUGCGUAGAUAUCGGAGGGAACACCUGUGGCGAAAGCGGCUCACUGGACCAUAACUGACGCUGAGGCGCGAAAGCUAGGGGAGCAAACAGG
rnacentral:rRNA from 1 species